UUUCGGAGAGUUUGAUUCUGGCUCAGAACGAACGCUGGCGGUAUGGAUUAGGCAUGCAAGUCGAACGGGAUCUGAGAUGUUCAAGUAGCAAUAUGAGAAUAUUUCAGUGAGAGUGGCGAAAGGGUGAGGAACACGUGAGUGACCUGCCCCUAAGUUUGGAAUAACCUUCCGAAAGGAGGGCUAAUGCCGAAUGUGGAUUUCCCCCUCAUGGGGGGAUAUCUAAAGAUUUAUCUCUUAGGGAUGGGCUCGCGUCCUAUUAGCUAGUUGGUGAGGUAAUGGCUCACCAAGGCGAUGAUGGGUAGCUGGUCUGAGAGGAUGGUCAGACACACUGGGACUGAGACACUGCCCAGACUCCUACGGGAGG
rnacentral:rRNA from 1 species